rnacentral:sRNA from 1 species
GUUCUGUCCUGCUUGUCCCCAGGUGAACCUGAGCAAGGUGGGCGAGUAUUGGUGGAACGCCAUCCUGGAGGGAGAAGAGCCCAUCGACAUUGACAAGAUCAACAAGGAGCGCUCCAUGGCCACCGUGGAUGAGGAGGAACAGGCGGUGUUGGACAGGCUUACCUUUGACUACCACCAGAAGCUGCAGGGCAAGCCACAGAGCCAUGAGCUGAAAGUCCAUGAGAUGCUGAAGAAGGGGUGGGAUGCUGAAGGUUCUCCCUUCCGAGGCCAGCGAUUCGACCCUGCCAUGUUCAACAUCUCCCCGGGGGCUGUGCAGUUUUAAUGACCAGAAGGAAAGGAAACCCUCGCCGGUGGGGAGGCAGAGCCUUAUCCUCGGCUGCCCUUCUCGGCUCCCUGCAUUCCAGGGACUUACUCGUCUUGUUUACCCCUAGCCGUCCUUUCUUUCAAGGGUGAACCAGGCCUUCCACCCUGACCUUGCAUCUCCAGACUGUUCCAGAGAAGGUGCAGGGCCAGCUGCUAUGUGGUGGCCGCUGUGGCUGACACUGAGUGAAGGUGUUUGAAAUGCAGGAGAGGAUAUCCCAGCAAAUUGGGAUCACAUGCUUUUGUCUCCACAGCAACCAGCCACUGCAGGCAGCAUGUCUUUCCUCCCCUGCUCUCUGCUUGCUGUUGUUUUGACGCUAUUCUGCUUGCAUGUCUUCUGGUUGGGAUGUGGAGUUGUUGCUGGACUCUCAGGCGAAGCUGAAGUCAUUGAAGUGUGUGAAGCUCUGUGCUUGCGUGAGGGCGAGCAAGGAAUGGCUAUGCCUGGGGCUGCUUUGGGAAACUCCUUGCCCCUUGACCUCUUUUGAGAGCAUUCAUGUGGUCUUCUUGCUCAUCCCCUUAUAAAUGUGCUCUGCCUGCCUCAGCCUCAUGGUCAGAGCAGUGGAGACUGGAGCCCUGUUUGCACGUUCUAGUUGUUCGGAGAAAGCCUAGGUUCUGGGCUCAG